CAUUUUGUGGGAAUAGGGCACUUGGUGUACAUGUGGAGACUAGAACUUGACUUUUGGGAGUCAGUCUUCUUCUACCCUGUGGAUCUCUGGGAUCAAACUCAGAAGCACUUCAAGCUUCCAUUGUUGGCUGAGGACAUCCCAGGUUUUCAGCACCAGACUGGGAGUGCUUAGGUACCUAGCCUUGUGGACUGAGUUACUCCUGGUUCUGGGCCUCUCCAGUGAGUGAGACACUCACUUUGGGACUACUGCAACUGCUGGCCAUCAAGCCUCAAGGACCAAGCAACUGCUGAAUGCUCAGCCUCUCAGGAUCAGCAAGACCCGGUAUGGAUUCCAGAGAGACUAACAGGGCAGUGCAACAAACAAGAUGAAGCCUCCAAUAUUGAUCCUGCUGCUGACCUUGACAACACCGUGGCUGAUCCAGGCCAGAGAACAAAUCCUGUGGGCCAUAGCGAAAGCGUGGCCAAUUCCCUUGACUGUUCAUAGCACAUCUAAAGUUUUGCCUGUUUUCUUUUCUACUAACUGUGAAUUGGGCUUGCCUUGUGUAAAUUUAGACCCUGACACUGCCCAGUAUUCAGCCACUAAUAUUUCUCUCCAUGGAGCAUUAUGCUUCUCCCUUAUUAAUAAUUAUAACCCAUGCAUUUGGUUGAAGAAUGGUUCUGUUGGCAAUUGGCUUGAUCCCCUUACCAGAUCUCGAGUGCUAUGCUCACUGAAGUCCUGACUCAGAUUAGUACAGGCGCUAGUUCUGGCUCUGGCACUGGUACAAAUGGGACCAAGGAUGUAAACAUUUCUGAUGCUGAUGGAGGGGCUCCGACCCUCAAAUUCACGCUUUAGUCAAGAGAACUCCACUGCUCGACAAGUCUUGCCUUAUUGUGCACCCAAUCGAGGCUAUCCUCCUCACUGUCAAAGUCCGGACCACAAACUUAAACAGAUAGCUCCAGGUU
rnacentral:lncRNA from 1 species